GAAAUGCGAUAAGUAAUGUGAAUUGCAGAAUUCAGUGAAUCAUCGAAUCUUUGAACGCACAUUGCGCCCGCCAGUAUUCUGGCGGGCAUGCCUGUUCGAGCGUCAUUACAACCCUCAGGCCCCCGGGCCUGGCGUUGGGGAUCGGCGGAAGCCCCCUGCGGGCACAACGCCGUCCCCCAAAUACAGUGGCGGUCCCGCCGCAGCUUCCAUUGCGUAGUAGCUAACACCUCGCAACUGGAGAGCGGCGCGGCCACGCCGUAAAACACCCAACUUCUGAAUGUUGACCUCUAAUCAGGUAGGAAUACCCGCUGAACUUAAGC
rnacentral:misc_RNA from 1 species